rnacentral:lncRNA from 10 species
AGAUAGAGUCUUCCUCUGUCGCCUAGGCUGGAGUGCAGUGGCGCGAUCUCGGCGCACCGCAACCUCUGCCUCCCGGGUUCAAGCGAAUUCUCCUGCCUCAGCCUCCGGAGUAGCUGGGAUUACAGAUGUGCUCCACCAUGCCCGGCUAAUUUUUGUAUUUUUAGUAGAGAUGGGGGGGUUUCACCAUGUUGGCCAGGCUGGUCUCGAACUCCUGACCUUGUGAUCCACUAGCUUCGGCCUCCCGAAGUUCUGGGAUUACAGGCAUGAGCCACCACACCCGGAUGAAUUAUGCCAUUUUUAAGGCAAAGCAGCGGUGAUGGUGGGUGAUGGAGUGACAUCAGGAGCGCCAGAAGGAGGAAGUCAGAAAGCCCUUGGGGACAGGAAUGUCCUUGUGUUGCAAACAUUUCUGGUCAGGGAAAGAUGAAGAAAACAGAAUGAGUUUCUGAUAACAGUGUUCCCAACACUUAAUGGUUAAAAGAAGCUUUGAGGAACACCAUAUUUCAGCCCUAUGGAACAGUGAACAAAAAGGAAAAAGCCAGUAAGACUGAUGGUUCUGUAUAAGAUGUCCACUUCUGCAUGAUCUGCUCCAGACAACAAAUGAAAUGCUCUUAUUAUUCCUGUCCCACUCUUGUCUCCCUACAGGCUAACCUCAUCUUUCACAAUCACUAUUUUCACAAUCGAGCUUUGAGAAGCUGAAAAGUCAGCAGGCUAUCUUGGCAAACCCACUAUAGUGUUCUAAAUUCUUUGUCAAAAUUAACCUUUUACAAUCUCUUGGCACUUGGAAGUAGGGGAAGAGUCCAACUGAAAGUGCAGUUUGAUCUCAUGGAGAAAAGUGAUGACACUUACCAAUUCCCCAGACCUGAGACUAAGAAAAUAACCUUGGCCAACAUGCAAAAAAAAUAUAUAUUAAUGAGAGGAGAUACACUAAAUAUAUUUUACUCAUCUCAGCAUAGCUUUCUCACAGGCAGUA